UACGUAGGGGGCAAGCGUUGUCCGGAAUCAUUGGGCGUAAAGAGCGUGUAGGCGGCCCGAUAAGUCCGCCGUGAAAGUCCAGGGCUCAACCCUGGAAUGCCGGUGGAAACUGUCGGGCUGGAGUCCGGAAGAGGAGAGUGGAAUUCCUGGUGUAGCGGUGAAAUGCGCAGAUAUCAGGAAGAACACCUAUGGCGAAAGCAGCUCUCUGGGACGGUACUGACGCUGAGACGCGAAAGCGUGGGGAGCGAACAGG
rnacentral:rRNA from 1 species